rnacentral:sRNA from 1 species
GCCACCGGAAUGAGUAUGGAUAAUCAGCUAUCCACGAUAUCCAUUUUCUAUAAAGAAAUGAGCCUACUUGGUCUUCUCCAUCAUUCCUCCUCCUAAUAAGCGCCUCAGAGUGAAAUACUCCAUGCAUAGCAUAUAAUCUGACAAUGGCAACCGGGAAAUACAUCCCUCCAGCCCUCCGCAACAAUAAGGGGGAAAUCGAUGACCAGCAACGGCAACCCCAGGACCAGCAGCAACCUCUGAACUCAAUGUCUACAUCUUACCAACUGAAGGAUACGGAAACAUACUUCGGGAAUUCAUUCCGGCACGGCGUUUGCGACAAGUUUCUCAAUCUCAACAGCAGCAGCAGCAACUACUACUACAAUAAAAGUUUCUCAAAAUGUGUGAAAUCCCCAGCCCCAGCAACCACCACUACAUGUUCACCGCAAGAGCGACAGCGACAGCGAUGGCAAGGAACCCUCAACACAACCGCCAAUGAUCCACACACGCUGUCCUACAUAGUUCUUUUCAGAGAGGCCCAUCCAUUUUGGGAAACAAAGCGUGAAAUUUUGUGCAAGUCGAACCUUCAUCUUCUCCCAGAGUCGUUCGCGGCAACACUGAAUGUCACCACCACCACCACCACCACCACC